rnacentral:rRNA from 1 species
CCUACGGGUGGCAGCAGUGAGGAAUAUUGGUCAAUGGCCGGAAGGCUGAACCAGCCAUGCCGCGUGAAGGUCAGUGCCCUAUGGGCUUUAAACUUCUUUUGUGCGGGAGCAAUAAUGGUCACGUGUGGCCAGACGAGAGUACCGUACGAAUAAGCAUCGGCUAACUCCGUGCCAGCAGCCGCGGUAAUACGGGGGAUGCAAGCGUUAUCCUGAUUUAUUGGGUUUAAAGGGUUCGUAGGCUGUGAGGUAAGUCAGCGGUGAAAUGCCCCCGCUCAACGGGGUGAAGUGCCAUUGAUACUGCCUGUCUGGAAUGCGGAUGCGGUGGGAGGAAUGUGUGGUGUAGCGGUGAAAUGCAUAGAUAUCACACAGAACACCGAUUGCGAAGGCAUCUCACGAAUCCGCGAUUGACGCUGAUGCACGAAAGCGUGGGUAUCAAACAGGAUUAGAUACCCUUGUAGUC